ACUUGCCACACUCCAAAGCAACAAUGGAACUAAACAAGUCAAAACAAUUGAAAAGGAUCCUUCCUCUCUCCAACCCAAGAAGCUAACCACGAAACCUCUCACUCCCACUUUUAUAUAUAACCUCCAAUCUCAAAAAACAAAAUCCAUAAUCAAAACCACAAUCACAAACACAAACACGAAGAAGACUCCUAUAUCAUUCAUCUAUGGCUUCUUCAAAUCAACAACAACAAGAACAAGACCAAUCAUCUUUAGAUCUCAUAACCCAACACCUUCUUACCGAUUUCCCUUCCUUAGAGACCUUUGUCUCCACCAUCCACCACUGCACCACCUCAACUCUAAGCCAACGCAAGCCACCUCUUGCCACUAUAGCAGUUCCUACUACUGGACCAGUGGCUCAAGAGGAUGAUUAAAGGCAUUACAGAGGCGUGAGGCGAAGACCUUGGGGCAAGUAUGCGGCUGAGAUCAGAGACCCAAACAGGAAAGGUGUUCGUGUCUGGUUAGGGACUUUUGACACAGCCAUGGAAGCUGCAAGGGGUUAUGACAAGGCUGCUUUUAAACUACGUGGAAGCAAAGCCAUUCUUAACUUUCCACUCGAAGCAGGAAAGCACGAGGACUUAGGAGACAAUAACAAGACUGUGUCUUUGAAAGCAAAGAGGAAAAGACAAGUAACGGAGGAUGUAAGCCACCUAAGCAGCCAUAAAGCUGUGAAGAGGGAAGAAACUCAGGCUCAGGCUCAGGCUCAGGCUCAGACUGAUGCUUGUCCAUAUCAAACAACUAAAAGAAGAUUCAGGCCCAAAAGGAAAAGAGAAGCCCACGAAGCCCAACUCUGCAACUCUGCAACAAUCACACGCGCCCUUACCGCUUCUAUCGCUGCCAACAAACAUAAGCGUGCAUAAUCGCUUUGAUGUUCUUGGAAGUAGCAGCAUCUCAUGCAACUAGAACAUUCAUCAUUAGCUUUUUGUAACUCUUCUCUUUAUAAAGACCUCUGCUUGUAAUCCAAUUAAGUUAAGGAAAAAUAUUUAAUCUUUUCCUCUCUUUCAAGCUUUCUCUUCUAUUUUCAUGGUAUCAGAGCUUAGGACUCUGUUCCUGAGCCAUGGAAGACUCUUUUUCUAAAUAUCUUAAUAUCUCUCAGGUUGUUACUCUCAAACUUACUCCAACGAAUUACCUUCUAUGGAAAACUCAAUUUGAGUCCUACCUUUCUACACAUCUUCUUCUGGGUUUCGUCACAGGCGCUACUCCUCGUCCGGUCUCCACCGUCACUGUUACAAAGGAUAAUGUCUUGUCUGAAGAAGCAAAUCCAGAAUUUCUGAAAUGGAUUCGCACUGAUCAGUUGGUCAAAGCUUGGAUCUUUGGAUCUCUCUCCGAAGAAGCUCUCAAGGUUGUCAUUGGCUUAAAUUCUGCUCAAGAGGUAUGGCUUAGCUUAGCUAGGCGUUUUAAUCGUGUUUCCACCACUAGGAAAUACGAUCUGCAGACACGUCUAAACACUUGUUCCAAGGCUGGGAAAACAAUGGAGGCUUAUCUAAGUGAGAUUAAAAACGUUUGUGAUCAGCUUGAUUCAAUUGGCUUUCCGGUUACAGAACAAGAGAAGAUUUUUGGUGUUCUGAAUGGGCUGGGAAAAGAGUAUGAAUCUGUAGCAACUGUGAUAGAACACUCUCUUGAUGUGUAUCCAGGCCCAUGUUUUGAUGAUGUCGUGUACAAGCUCACUGUGUUUGAUGAUAAACUCUCCAAGUAUGCUGCAAACUCUAAAGUCACUCCACAUCUGGUUUUUUACACGGAUAAAAGUUAUUCUCCACGGGAUAAUUACAAUGGUCGUGGUGGAAGAUCGGGAGCUUCCCGUGGUCGUGGGUUCCAACAACAGUUUGGCUCUGGUUCAAACAAUGGCCCUGGAAACUAUCCGAAACCCACAUGUCAAAUCUGCGGGAAAUAUGGUCACUCUGCGUUUAAGUGUUACAAGCGGUUUGAAGAGAAUUAUCAACCUGAAGAUCUUCAUCAUGCUCUUGCUACUAUGCGCGUAUCUGAUCAAAAUCACCCUGCAGGUCAUGAAUGGUUCCCAGACUCGGCUGCUACUGCCCAUAUCACAAACACCACCAAUGGUCUUCAAAACUCCCAACCAUACUCAGGUGAUGAUUCUGUGAUUGUAGGAAAUGGAGAUUUUCUGCCCAUCACUCAUAUUGGUACAAUUCCUCUGAACACUUCUCAAGGUACACUACCUUUAGAGGAUGUCUUAGUCUGUCCUGCAAUAACUAAAUCGCUUUUAUCUGUCUCCAAGCUUACUGAUGAUUAUCCCUGCUCGUUUACGUUUGAUUCUGAUUCUGUUGUUAUAAAGGACAAACGAACACAACAGCUCCUCACUCGAGGAACCAAGCAUAAAGGUCUAUAUGUGUUGAAGGAUGUCCCGAUUCAAGCUUACUAUUCUACUCGACAACAAUCUACCGAUGGGGAAGUGUGGCAUCAGCGAUUGGGUCAUCCUAACAAAGAUAUUUUGCAGCAUCUUAUCAAGACUAAGGCUAUUGUUGUCAAUAAAACAAGCUCUAAUCUGUGUGAUGCUUGUCAAUUGGGAAAAGUGUGUCGUCUUCCUUUUGUUGCUUCUGAUUUUAUCUCUUCUCGGCCCCUAGAACGUAUUCAUUGUGAUCUAUGGGGCCCAACACCUGUUAUCUCUUCUCAGGGUUUUCAAUAUUAUGUCAUCUUUAUCGACAACUACUCUCGCUUCUCAUGGUUUUAUCCGUUAAAGUUGAAGUCUGAUUUUUUCUCGGUUUUUCUCCUCUUUCAACAACUUGUCGAGAAUCAAUACCAACAAAAGAUUGCUAUGUUUCAGUGUGAUGGAGGGGGUGAGUUCAUCUCAAACAAAUUUGUUGCUCACCUUGCUUCAUGUGGUAUUAGGCAACUGAUUUCGUGUCCUCACACUCCACAACAGAACGGGAUUGCUGAAAGACGACAUCGAAAUCUAACCGAACUUGGUCUCUCUCUCAUGUUUCACAGCAAGGUUCCACAUAAGCUAUGGGUUGAAGCAUUCUUUACCUCAAAUUUUUUGGGUAAUCUUCUUCCAUCUUCUGCUGUGUCCAACAAUAAAAGUCCCUAUGAGAUUCUGCAUGGAACUCCUCCUGUCUAUACUGCGCUGCGUGUUUUUGGGAGUGCCUGCUACCUUUACCUUCGUCCUUAUGCGAAAAACAAGUUUGAUCCCAAGUCUCUUCUAUGUGUGUUUUUGGGAUAUAACAACAAAUACAAGGGAUAUAGGUGUCUUCAUCCACCUACGGGAAAAAUCUACAUUAGUCGACAUGUUUUGUUUGACGAAAGACAAUUCCCGUACUCUGACAUUUAUUCUCAAUUUCAGACAACUUCUGAUUCUCCCCUUCUCACUGCUUGGCAACGGGGGUUUCUCAUCAAGAAUCCUCACCAGAAACACCAUCCACAUCCCCGAGCGUGGAAGAUGUUGUUUUCCCUCUUCCAAAUGUCUCCAGCAGCUCCACACCAAACACUGCCACUCCUGGUUUGGUCUUUUCAGAUGAUACUGCUCCUUUUAGUCCGAUCACGUCUACAUCGACUCCCACUCAGCCUGAGAUUUUAACGUCUGAUCUUGAUCACUGCCCUCCUGACUUUGAACCGGCAGUCACCAACGAUGUCACUCCGCAAAUCACAGAUAACUCUCUGUUUACUGAUUCUGAUUUUCCGCCUCUGCAAUCUGCGGUCUCCUCUCCUCUUACUGCAACAGAUACCUCUCAUCCCAUGAUUACUCGCGCUAAAGCAGGCAUCACCAAGCCUAAUCCAAAGUAUGCUCUAUUUUCUGUCAAAUCUAACUAUCCUGAGCCUAAAUCCGUCAAAGCUGCUCUCAAAGAUGAAGGCUGGACAAACGCAAUGGGAGAAGAAAUGGAAACGAUGCACGAAACUAAUACAUGGGACUUAGUCCCACCGGAAAUGGCUGAUCGUCCUCUUGGAUGUAAGUGGGUGUUUAAAACGAAACUGAAUUCUGAUGGGAGUUUAGACCGAUUGAAAGCUCGCCUUGUUGCAAGGGGAUAUGAGCAAGAAGAAGGCGUGGAUUAUGUUGAGACAUACAGCCCCGUUGUCAGAACUGCCACGGUUCGAUCUAUUCUUCAUGUCGCUACAAUUAACAAAUGGUCCCUUAAGCAACUCGAUGUGAAAAAUGCUUUUCUUCAUGGGGAAUUGAAAGAAACUGUGUUUAUGACCCAACCACCCGGCUUUGAAGAUCCCUCUCGACCUGACUACGUUUGCAAACUCAAGAAAGCAAUUUAUGGUUUAAAACAAGCGCCUCGGGCUUGGUUUGACAAAUUCAGCUCUUAUCUUCUGCAGUUUGGAUUUAUCUGCAGCUUUUCGGAUCCUUCUCUCUUUGUUUAUCUUAAGGACAACAACGUUAUGUUCUUGUUGCUUUAUGUUGACGAUAUGAUAUUAACUGGUAACAAUGCUGCUCUCCUUCAACAGUUAUUGACCACUCUCAGUACAGAAUUUUGAAUGAAGGACAUGGGAGCUUUGCAUUACUUCUUGGGGAUUCAGGCGCACUACUACAAUGAUGGUCUUUUCCUUAGUCAGGAAAAGUACGCUUCUGAUUUAUUGAUCAAUGCAGGCAUGUCAGAGUGCUCACCCAUGCCGACACCUCUUCCUCUUCAGCUUGAUCAGUUACCGGGUAACAACGAACCUUUUCCUGAACCCACUUAUUUCAGAAGCUUGGCGGGCAAACUCCAAUAUCUCACUCUCACCAGACCUGACAUCCAGUUCGCGGUUAAUUUUGUUUGCCAAAAGAUGCACUCUCCUUCCAUGUCUGAUUUUCAUUUACUCAAAAGGAUCUUGCGGUAUCUUAAAGGUACAAUGACAAUGGGCAUUAAUCUAUCUUCAAACACAGAUUCUGUUCUUCGUUGCUACAGUGAUAGUGAUUGGGCUGGCUGCAAGGACACACGACGAUCUACCGGAGGUUUCUGCACAUUCCUCGGCUCCAACAUUGUCUCGUGGUCUGCUAAACGUCAUCCCACCGUCUCCAAAUCCUCCACCGAAGCUGAAUACCGGACAUUGUCUUUUGCAGCAUCUGAAGUUGCAUGGAUUGGAGCCUUGCUCCAAGAAAUUGGUCUUCCCCAACAUCAAAUCCCUGAGAUGUACUGUGACAACCUUUCAGCCGUCUACCUCUCUGCUAAUCCCGCUCUUCAUUCUCGUUCCAAACACUUUCAGGUGGACUACCAUUAUGUCCGUGAAAGAGUGGCUUUAGGCGCUCUCACUGUCAAACACAUUCCAGCCUCCCAUCAACUUGCUGACAUUUUCACUAAGUCUCUUCCUCAAGCACCAUUCUUCGAUCUUCGGUUCAAACUUGGUGUCGUCUUGCCGCCGGACACAAGUUUGAGGGGGUGUAUCAAACAACUAAAAGAAGAUUCAGGCCCAAAAGGAAAAGAGAAGCCCACGAAGCCCAACUCUGCAACUCUGCAACAAUCACACGCGCCCUUACCGCUUCUAUCGCCGCCAACAAACAUAAGCGUGCAUAAUCGCUUUGAUGUUCUUGGAAGUAGCAGCAUCUCAUGCAACUAGAACAUUCAUCAUUAGCUUUUUGUAACUCUUCUCUUUAUAAAGACCUAUGCUUGUAAUCCAAUUAAGUUAAGGAAAAAUAUUGAAUCUUUUCCUCUCUUUCAAGCUUUCUCUUCUAUUUUCAGUCCAUUAACGCCGUCAAGUUGGAUGGGGUUUUGGGACGGAGCAGACAGUAAAGAGAUGGGGAUAUUCUCCGUGCCUCCAUUAUCUCCUUAUCUAUCUCUUGGACACUCCCACCUCGUGGUUAUGUAAGCUUCUGAGAGUCAAACUGGGAACAUUCCAACAUUAGGUGACAUUAGCAACUUUGGAUUGUGUUGAAAGCUUCUAGAUUAGCUGAUUGUAAAAAUUGUUUCCCUAUAUUCAUUGAUUCAUCUUAAAUGCAAUUCUUUCUACCCUUCCUUAAACGAGCACAAAGAAGAAGUUUGAACUUACAAGACCUACUAAUGAGCCCUUCAAGCAAAACGAUUGCCUCCAAGACUUUGGUCGCUGUCUAAUAUAAUAGUGCAGACACCCACAAACAUAUGUACUUUUCUUCAACCCUAUAAAUUUCACCAUAGACAAAAACUUUCAUGAGGUUACAAAGUAGACACAGAGAAUUCAGUAUGUUGAAACAAACCUAAGACAUUCCUUUGUUACCCACUCCACGAGACUUCUGCUUCCAGAUGUACUUGAUGCUAAGGUCGUAACUCGUAACAUUUUUACAUCUUACAACAUGACAAGAUUACCUUAACUAUUUCAAGUCACCAAAUCAAAGGAAACAACCAGAAGGAAAAACUUCAUCGCUUAGCCGUGAAAGAAACAUAAAUCAAGUAACCCAAUUAUUUUCAAAAAGAUAGAAACAGUGCGGCCAAAAGAGAAAUUCCAACCACCUAAUCAUAUAAUCCACAGUGAACCAAAAACGAGAAUCCUACACCGUCGAGAAAUUGUCUAAAACAGGCAAGCAGACAUAAACUUGUACCCAUAAAAUUUUUAAAAAGUGUCAAUUUUUGUUUCAAAUUUCUGUAAUAAAAACCAUUUUUAAAAUGUGUCUCGGAUAUGAAGAAGCCUGGAAAUAGAGACAAAUCCACAAAAUCCCUCCUUUCUUGUCUUAAACUUAUACUAAUAUUUAAAGUCCACUUGCCACACUCCAAAACAACAGUAGAAAACAAGUCAAAAUAAUUGAAAAGGAUCCUUCCUCUCUCCAACCAAAGAAGCUAAUCUCAAAAACCUCUCACUUUCCAUUUUUAUAUAACCCUCCAAUCUCAAAAACCAAAACCCACAAUCAAAACAACAAUCAGAUAGAAAAAGGCUCCAGUAUCAUCUAUGGCUUCUUCACAUCAACUAGAACAAGACCAAUCAGCUUUGAAUCUCAUAACCCAACACCUUCUUACCGAUUUCCCUUCCUUAGACACCUUUGUCUCCACCAUCCACCACUGCACCACUUCAACUCUAAGCCAACGCAAGCCACCUCUUGCCACUAUAGCAGUUCCUGCACCAGUGGCUCAAGAGGAUGACCUGAGGCAUUACAGAGGCGUCAGGAGAAGACCGUGGGGUAAGUAUGCGGC
rnacentral:lncRNA from 1 species